GCCUUCGUGGUGUAGUGGUUCUGCACGCUAGAUCGCUAUUCCAGAGGUCCUUGGUUCGAGUCCUGGCGAAGGCG